AUUAAUUUUACUUAAUUGCGAGUUAAAUUUAAAUACAAACACAUAAAAUCAUCAAUAAUGUCGCGUGACAUUCGAUCGUAUUUUCAUUUCCUAAAGGACAAAGCAAAAUGCACCGGCAGCAAAGCCGUCAAAGAUUAACAAAAACCGUUGUCAUCUGAUGAGGAAGAUUCUCAUGCAAGUCCAAAGAAAAUAAAGCUAAAAA